rnacentral:rRNA from 1 species
GACGAACGCUGGCGGCGUGCUUAACACAUGCAAGUCGAACGGAAAGGCCCUGCUUUUGUGGGGUGCUCGAGUGGCGAACGGGUGAGUAACACGUGAGUAACCUGCCCUUGACUUUGGGGUAACUUCAGGAAACUGGGGCUAAUACCGGAUAGGAGCUCCUGCUGCAUGGUGGGGGUUGGAAAGUUUCGGCGGUUGGGGAUGGACUCGCGGCUUAUCAGCUUGUUGGUGGGGUAGUGGCUUACCAAGGCUUUGACGGGUAGCCGGCCUGAGAGGGUGACCGGCCACAUUGGGACUGAGAUACGGCCCAGACUCCUACGGGAGGCAGCAGUGGGGGAUAUUGCACAAUGGGCGGAAGCCUGAUGCAGCAACGCCGCGUGCGGGAUGACGGCCUUCGGGUUGUAAACCGCUUUCGCCUGUGACGAAGCGUGAGUGACGGUAAUGGGUAAAGAAGCACCGGCUAACUACGUG